rnacentral:rRNA from 1 species
GUCUAUGGCCAUGCUACCCUGAACAAGCUCGAUCCCAUCUGAUCUCAGAAGCUUAGCAGGGUCGGGCCUGGUUAGUACUUGGAUGGGAGACCACCUAGGAAGACCAGGUGCUGUAGGAG